rnacentral:tmRNA from 1 species
CGGGGCGUUUGGUUUUGACAGCGUAGUUCUUUGAAAGUGUAAGCAUGCAGGGCGUUGAGUAAUUAGCCCUUUAAUCUGAAUACUCAAAAUAUAAAUGGCAAUACUCAAUUUGCCAUGGCUGCCUAAUCAGUGAUUAAGUAGUCAUUAGGGCCGUGCUGAGCAGGUUGUUCUGCCGCCAAGCUCCACCGCCGACUCAAAAAACAAAGUGCAGAAUGCUUUCCGGUUAGGCUGUGCAUCGGAAAAAAGACUAUCCAGCUACGUAAGGAAUCGGUUUGUUUCUUCCCUGUUCUUUGCCGACAAUUAAUACAGGAAAUAAGCAUGUAGAAAGCUUUUGAAGGAUAUGUUUGGACACCGGUUCGAUUCCGGUCGCCUCCACUU